GAUGAAGAACGCAGCGAAAUGCGAUAAGUAAUGUGAAUUGCAGAAUUCAGUGAAUCAUCGAAUCUUUGAACGCACAUUGCGCCCGCCAGUAUUCUGGCGGGCAUGCCUGUCUGAGCGUCAUUUCAACCCUCAUGCCCCUAGGGCGUGGUGUUGGGGAUCGGCCAAAGCCCGCGAGGGACGGCCGGCCCCUAAAUCUAGUGGCGGACCCGUCGUGGCCUCCUCUGCGAAGUAGUGAUAUUCCGCAUCGGAGAGCGAUGAGCCCCUGCCGUUAAACCCCCAACUUUCCAAGGUUGACCUCAGAUCAGGUAGGAAUACCCGCUGAACUUAAGCAUAUAAAUAAGCGGAGGA
rnacentral:misc_RNA from 1 species